rnacentral:lncRNA from 1 species
CGAGAGGAAUCCGGCAGCGGACCCCCCCACAGGCUCCGGGCUGCACCCAGGCCGCCCUUAGCAACGUGACGCCGCAGGCGGUUGCUAGGGCCGGGGCAGGAAGUGCUUGGCGGCGGCGGAGAGCAGUUCCGGGGCAGCGCGGCAUGGCGGCGCGAGGCCGGAGUCUGAAUGAGGAGUCUGAAUGAGGGGGUUCGUGGCAAGCAAAGGCCAGGUGAGGAAUGGAGCGAGCAGCCUGGGUGCUGUGUUGGACCGAGGGUGUGGCCGUGGAUGAAGGUUUGUCAAUAUGUACUUCGUCUGGAUGUCCCGGAGUGGGCCGAGUCAGGGCUGAGGUUUUGGGUGAUUGUGUUUGUUGUGUGGGAAGGGCUGCGUUGGUAGACUGGGGGGGAAGGAGAGGGAGACGUGAAAAGUGCCGGCAGUCAGGAGCACGUCACGUUUCUGCCUGCUCUGUUGAUGCAGUUCUAAGCCUGUGGGUCCCCACGGAGGACGGGUGAGGCAGUGUGGCCCCGUGUGCGUUGCAGCAUUACGCGCGGGUUUUGAAUUUAAUGCGAGUGGUUUGAAUCCAACUGCAGUUGGAUUGAACGUAUUGAUUGUAGGUGAGGGCUGAAUGCCCAGAGGUGACGUGCAAGAAGAGGCGCUGGAUGCUCACAUGGCAAGCAGGGCUUCUGUCUCGCAGGAGGCAGGCGUAGUCAGGUGCACUUUGGAGCCUGCUGCUCUUGGCGCUGAGCUGAGGAGAGCACUCAGUGAGCGGCUGUGUGCUGCGUGUCCCAGCCUGAGAAGGGGAUUCCCUUGUGGAAGGAAGGCGAGGGUGAAGGAGGCUGAGGGCCCUUUUGUCGGGGCCGGCUCCUCUGUGCCCUCAUGCUUGCCAGAGAGAAGGGCUGCCCCCUGGUCACAGGGAGCGCCUUCUACCUCGCAUCCUGUGCCCUGUCCUGCAGCCCCCUCCUCCUCCUCUGUGGAACGCCACUGCCAGCAGUGCGGCUGCCAUUUUAGAA